GGCAUGGAGUCCUGUGGCAUCCACGAGACCACCUUCAACUCCAUCAUGAAGUGUGACGUGGACAUCAGGAAGGACCUCUACGCC
ensembl:miRNA